AUCCCUUUCGGAGCUCCAGCCUGCCCCUCCUGACGCUCUCAGAGUCUGGCCUUCUGCUGGGCCCCGGGUCUCUCACUGGCAGAAUGGAGUUCUCGGAGCUGAUCCAUACGGGCUGAGCCCAAGCAGAGUUUCUACGGGGCCCGGAGGCGCCCCCGCUUCGCGGCACGGUGUGAGUCACCGUCCACCACCUGCUCCUGUCGCCAGGGCCCGCGUCCUCUCCGGACCUGUGGCUGCUGCUGUUGCGUAGCGUCGACUCCUUCGAGAAGCAGUUCUGCUACGCUCCAGCCAGCCCCUAACUGGUCCCCAGAAGCGGCGCUGCUACAGGGACCAGGAGCUGCUGCGAACUGCGCUGGCGGGGGCUCGUCCUUGGGCGCGGGGCUUCAUCAUGGACACGCUCUCGGCCCAGGCCGCGAAACAAGCCCGCGUGACUGGCGGAGGCACAGAGACCAAGGCCGCUUAACCUGGCUGGUUGCACUGGUCCCUGGAGAGAGGGCGUCCCCUGCAGGAGAGCUUCAUGCGCCUGGUGGAGGCCUGUGGGGACUCGGAGCAAAGCAUGGACAACUGGCUGAGUCGGCUGGACGGCUGCCGCUGACUGUAACAUGUAAAGCAGGCACUGAGCACCACCUGCCUGGCAGUCCAGGGCAUGGAGAGGCACAGACAGCACCCUGCUUGUGACUUCACUGGCCCAACUCAUCCUGGACCCCUUGAGCAAGACCAUGGCUGGAUUCCAGGAACUGGUGGAGUGGAAGUGGAUCCAGGAAAAUGCCGUGUGAAGGGAGGACUCAGAUGCACUCCCUGUGGUCUGGGCUCAACCAGCCAAAAGAGCAACAAAGACUCCAGAACCCACUCUACCUCCUCAAUCCCUUGGCCAUCUGUGGAGCCCCAGAGCCUGCGGCUGUGGCAAGGCCUGUUUCUGCGCUGGACCUGCUCACCUGAGCCUGCAGAAGCUGCAUGGGGGAAGAGUGUGGCAAAUAGUGACAGGAAGGGAGAAGACAGAAGCCUCUCAGCCAACUGCUUCAGCCGAGCCCCUAUUCUAAGCACUGGCUCCUUGGAUAGCAGCUGAGAUGUUCCUGAAACCUCUGCAGGCCCCUUAGGACCUUUACACCUUGGAUGAGGGUGCCUGCAACCCAGGUUAGCCAAAAGUACUGAGGGUCUUAAGUUUGAAGUGUCCAAAGUAUAGGGAGGUCUCAAUAAUAAAAGUCUCCAUGAUCAGCAUCA
rnacentral:lncRNA from 1 species